AACGAACGCUGGCGGCAGGCUUAACACAUGCAAGUCGAACGCUCGUAGCAAUACGGGAGUGGCAGACGGGUGAGUAACGCGUGGGAACGUGCCCAAAGGUACGGAACAACUCCGGGAAACUGGAGCUAAUACCGUAUGUGCCCGAAAGGGGAAAGAUUUAUCGCCUUUGGAUCGGCCCGCGUCGGAUUAGCUAGUUGGUGGGGUAAUGGCCUACCAAGGCGACGAUCCGUAGCUGGUCUGAGAGGAUGAUCAGCCACACUGGGACUGAGACACGGCCCAGACUCCUACGGGAGGCAGCAGUGGGGAAUAUUGGACAAUGGGCGCAAGCCUGAUCCAGCCAUGCCGCGUGAGUGAUGAAGGCCUUAGGGUUGUAAAGCUCUUUCGCCAGGGACGAUAAUGACGGUACCUGGAUAAGAAGCCCCGGCUAACUUCGUGCCAGCAACCGCCGUAA
rnacentral:rRNA from 1 species